UACGAAGGGGGCUAGCGUUGUUCGGAAUUACUGGGCGUAAAGGGCUCGUAGGCGGCCAACUAAGUCAGACGUGAAAUCCCCAGGCUCAACCUGGGAACUGCGUCUGAUACUGGAUGGCUUGAAUCCGGGAGAGGGAUGCAGAAUUCCAGGUGUAGCGGUGAAAUGCGUAGAUAUCUGGAGGAAUACCGGUGGCGAAGGCAGAUCUCUGGGCCGUAACUGACGCUGAGGAGCGAAAGCGUGGGGAGCGAACAGG
rnacentral:rRNA from 1 species